GACCAAUGAUGAGACAGUGUUUAUGAACAAAAGAUCAUGAUUAAUCCAGUUCUGCACAAAACACUGAGGUCCAUUAGAAGACAAUAGGUCUUGGCUGUUUCAUUCCUUUUAAGAGCUGUUUAAUAUUCCACGGAGCCCUGGGCUCCCCCAGUGUUGCCUGGGUCUGACUUUGCCUCAGUGAAAACUGCCUCGAAUUCUUUCUUGCACCGAUGGGCAGAUGGGCAGUGUCGGAGGAUCGUGUCAUCUGUCCCGUGGCGCUGGUUGGCUUGGUCAAGUCAGUGUUCAAACUAUCUCCUGCUCUUUCAAGGGGAUCUGGGGCUCUAGAAGAUUAGAGGACUUGGAGAGGUUAGUGACUUGCUCGAGGUCGGCUAGGAAGCAAGACCCAGGAUUCCAACUCAGGUCUGUGUGAUUCCUCUGCAAAAUGGAGAGGUGGAAGGAUGGAUGUCAGGUCUGAUGGAUGGAUGGAUGCCUACAUCAAGAUACAUGCAUAGAUGGAGAGAUGGCUGGCUACCUCAUGAAUGCUGGACUGUUGUGAGAAUCAAACGAGAUAAUGUAUGCUGAGGCAUGCUGUGAACACUACGUGCUGGGUACAGGAGAAUGGAGGCUCCAGAGUGAAAUUAAUGACACUUUGUCGAUGAAGAUCUUGAUUGUGACCUCUGUGGAAAAUGAGCCAUGAACCAACCAAUGAUAAGUCUACUUUUCUUCCACGUAACAACCACAGGAUAGAUGACAUUCAUUUUCUAAGAAACAAAAUCUUGGCAGUUAGAUCCGUGGGGUAAAGAAUAUAGAUACUAAUGUAAGUUAACACCUCAAGUUCAUGUCCUUGGUUUGGAUGCUUUGUUCAGGAGUGUUUAGUGGUAUUUCAAAGGAAUCAAUAUCUAUAACAAAUUAAAAUAACCAGGAAUGGACCAGUGAUGGAAAUGUGUUCCGAAAAUAUGUUUAAUAUAAUUUGGCACAACUGAAGUGAUAAAAAUAUAGUAGUUAGACCAUUUAUAUUCACAAUUAUUUAACAUUGUAUCUUAUUUUCUACCUCAAAUGAUUUAAUCUUUUCCAUAUUGGUAUGGUCCUGGCCGAUAACUCUUUGUGUGGCAGCCUGAGAGAAUAUGGAAGACACUGUCAGUGUUGGAAGAUGGUGGUUUUAUCACUUUUCAUUGCACUGUCUUUAAAACAUGGGCAAAUUGACUAAAAGAAGACUACAGAAGAAAUAAUGGUGAUUGUGAAUUUGGUAUGAAGCAUGGAUGUUAAUUAAUCACACAUGUUCUCUGAGGUCCAUUGUAAAAGGAGACCUAGUCUUCAGGGAGAGAGCCACUAAUGGGGAGAUCUUAUUCCUAGAAUUUUGUGGUUAUAUUAUUAUUCAUGAACCAAUGAAUAAUAAAUGAAUGAUAUAAAGGAAGAAAAACGUGCUUGGACCAAUGAUGAGUACCAUGGGGUAUCUGAAACAGGAUUUUUGAUUAAACCCAUAUGCAAUUCUGAGGUCCAUUACAAAGAGACACGUAUUAUUCCUUUUUUGGGAAGUGAGCCUAUGGUACCUUUUCCUUGGACUUUGUGGUUCUUGGGGAUGGAUUGCAUUUUUGUUAUAAAAUCAGCCCAUGAAUUAAAAAUUUAUCAAUGAGUAAAACAUAAAGCAUAAGUCAUGUACUUAUUAUCAGUGACUGUAAUGAAACAUGGAUUAUUAUUAAAACUUAUCUGAGACUCCCAAUAAAUUAAUACCCAAGGCUUCUACCAUUCUGGUAAGGAGCAUAUGGUCAUUUGUAUGCAAGAGUCAGUUUUUGUUCUGUGUUGGUGGUGGGUUGCUGACUAUUUUAUGAAGAAAAUGAAGCAUCUUUAAUCAUAUAAAUAGUUGGUUAAAUAACCACUUAAUUGAGACCAAGCAGAGACCAAUGAUGAGUGUAUUAAUCUAUUUUUUAAUGGAUUUUUAUUAAACAAAUAAUAAAAGAAACACAGUCUAUUCUUCCUGAGGGCAAUAACUCUAGACAGAUGUAAAUAUUCUUCAGUGUUCUUGUCCAGUGCUGUGAGAUCACAGAUACUGAUGUCUUUUGUAUAUGAGAAGGAACUUGCAUUUUUAUGUCUCAGUUUAUAUUUUAGAGUCAGCAAACCAUGGACCAAUUAGGAACAAAUGUUAUGAUAUGAGAAUGCUGAUUCUUGUUUUUUUUUUUCAUGAUAGACAUUCUAAGAAAAACUCUAGGCUCUCUCAUUGUUUUUGGAAUACAUACAUGGUUCUUUCCAAGUAGUUUCUUAGAAAAAUGUUUUUAAAAAGAGGCUUUUAAAAAGAGCCUUUUAAAAUGUUUUUAAAAGAAGGCUUUAUUUUUCUCUAUAGAAUGAAAACCAUGUAGCUGGUCUUAUUAUUCUCUAAUCAUGAAGACCAUUAUUGUUAUUUGUGGACUAAGGAGCAGAAAGACUGAUAGUGGACAUAGGCCAGCUGAUUUAAUAAUUUAAGAAAGAACUGUUAUCCUGAGUAAGGAGCAUAGAGACAAAUAUAAAAUGAACGCACUCUACCUGAUUUAAUUAUAGUCUUCUGGUGAAGAUCUUGCUGUUAUCUCUGUGAAUCAGGAGAGAAGAGAUUGAUAAGGAAUAGACGAGAUUGGAUUUGGUCAUUUCCCCAAGGUGAAGAGCAUGGCGAUUUCUUCUGUGGUAAGGAGCAAUAAUGAAGACCAUGGUUGAUUUAAUCAGUCUCUGCUGAUGAAGAUCUUGGCUGUUACCUUUGUGUAAUGAAUGCGCAAUGAUUCAAUUAUUCUCCAGCGAGGAAGAUCAUGGUUGUUGUCUGUUUGAGUAAUGAGUGUAGAAACCUAUAAUGGAGGCGUGAUGGCUGAUGCAAUCAUUUUCCACUGAUGAAGGUUUUGAUGGCCACCUGUAAUGAACAGCCCCAUCUGAUUUAAUCACUGUGCAAUGACCGUGAACUGUACAGUUACCUCCGUGUGUCACAGGAAGACUCUUUUGACUUAAGCACCCUUCCAUGGUCAUGAGGUUUCUGGUUGCCUCUGUGUGUUAGAAGCUUGGAGACCAAUGCCUUCUGCUGUGAUCGCGUUCUCCACAGUUGCCUCUGGGUAGGAGCCUGGACACUAAUAGAAAAUGGAUGCACUUGAGCCGACCUAAGCAUUCAUGGUCAUGAGAUUUGUGGUUGCCACUGUUGGUUAGGAGCAUAGAGAUCAGUAAUGGACACACCUGGGCUGGCAGAACAUCUUGCCUUGAUCUGGAGCCCCAUGUCUGCCCCUCUGUAGAGGUGCACAUGGGCCAAUGAUGGAUGCAAUGAGCUGAUCAUUUUGCUGUGAUCAAGGCUAUGUUGCCUCUGUGUUAGGCCAAUGGUUGAUGUUCAUGGGUGAUUGAUCAUCCUGUAGCGACGGUGGUAUUGACUGUUCCCCAGAGGACAAGGAGUGUGUUCUUAUCUACUCAGGAGGCUGAGGCAGGAGAAACGCUUGAACCCGAGAGGCGGAGGUUGCAGUGAGCUGAGAUUGCGCCAUUGCACUCCAGCCUGGGCAACAAGAGUGAAACUCCAUCUCAAAAGAAAAAAAAAAGAAAACAAAACAAAAAAAGAAAAAACCAAUGUUCCAAUAGUUUCCCAAAUCAUGCUGAUGCUGCCUCCUGAGAAAUAUUUUCAGAAUCACUGAGAAAAAUGUAUGAAAUAGUUAAUGUCCUUGCUCUGUGUCAGUGGUGGAGGCUGUCUGCAGUAGGAGCAUGGAGACCAACAAUGGAUGCUCUUAAACUGAUUUAAGCACGCUUCCAUGGUCAGAAGCCUUAUGGUUGCCACAGGGUAUUAGGAGCAUGGAGACCAAUAAUGGAUGUCCUUGUUCUGAUUUGAGGAUGCCUCCAAGGUCACAUACUCUGUUUGCACCACGCUUAGGAAGGAGCGUGAAGACCAAGGGAAGAUGAUAAACACAGAUCAUGGAGGACUGUUUUAUCUGUUUGUGAUCUGCCGUCCUCUGUGAGCCUCAGGAUGGAUGUUUGCCAGCCGAUUCCAUGGUUACAAGCUCUAUAGCUGCAUCUAUGUGUUAGGAGCAUGAAGACCAAUAAUGGAUGCACUGAGCUGAUUAUGAAUUUAGCCCUGAUGAAGACUUGUGUUGCUGUCAUGAUAUGAAAGAUUCCAGUAAUGAACGCACUUGAGUUGAUUCAAGCACGCUUCCAUGGUCAUGAGCUCUGUGGUUGCAUCUGUGUGUUAGGAGCAUGCAGACCAAUAGUGAUAAUCUCGAGGUGAUUUAUGCAUUCUUCCAUGGCCACCAGCCUUAUGAUUGCAUCUGUGCGUCACAGCUUAGAGAUCAAUAAUGGAUGCAACAAGCUCUUUGAAUCAUUCUGUUGGGAUCAAGAUUGUUGUGUUCCCUCUGUUUGGAAAGAGACCAAGAAUGGAUACGCUCAGGUGAUUUAAGCAGUCUUCCAUGGCCACGAGCUCUGUGGUUGCCUCUGUAUAUUAAGAGCACAGAGAUUAAAAAUGGGUGCACUUGAGCCGAUUGAAACAUUCCUCCUUGCAUCUUUCUUCUGUGAUUGCAUCUAUUUGUUAGUAGCAUAGAGACCAAUAAUAGAUGGCUUGUGCUGAUGGAAGGAUUCCUCCCUGGUGACAUGCUGUGUCUGCCUCUUGAUUGGGAGCACGCAGACCUACAAUGAUGCACUUUUUAUGAUUUGAGAAUUCCUUCAUGGUCACGUGCUCUGUUUUUAUCAUGGUUGGGAGCCUGCAGAGCAAUAAGGGACAUGCCUUUGCUGAUUUGAGGAUUCCUCUGAGGUUGGGAGCUAAGUUUGCAUCAUGCUUAGAAAGGAGUGUGCAGACCUGUAAUGAUUGCACUUUGCUGAUUGAAGGAUUCCUUCAAGUCCAUGUGCUCCACUUGCACCAUUUUUAGGAUGGAGCCUGGAGACCUAUAAUGAACAACUUGUGCUGUGUUAAGGAUUCCUCCAUGAUCACGCGCCCCAUUUGUACACCAUGCUUGGGAAGGUGCAUGCAGACCAAUGUUAGUAAUAGUCAAAAUUCCUGUGUCGGUUUGUGUGGUUUGCUAAACAGGACUCAAUGUAUCAUGAAACAGUGUAUUAUAUAGUCAACUAUGGUCAACUAUGUCCCAGUGAUAUUUAUGAGAGGGAUCUGAAGUAUUUAUUGAUAAUGCAUAUAUGAAAAACGGAGAAGAAUUAAUGAAACAGAUAUAUCUGUGUUAGAAUGAUUCUGUAUAAAGAUAGGGAAUAUCAAGU
ensembl:lncRNA MEG8 maternally expressed 8, small nucleolar RNA host gene